rnacentral:rRNA from 1 species
GACGAACGCUGGCGGCGUGCUUAACACAUGCAAGUCGAACGGAAAGGCCCUGCUUUUGUGGGGUGCUCGAGUGGCGAACGGGUGAGUAACACGUGAGUAACCUGCCCUUGACUUUGGGAUAACUUCAGGAAACUGGGGCUAAUACCGGAUAGGAGCUCCUGCUGCAUGGUGGGGGUUGGAAAGUUUCGGCGGUUGGGGAUGGACUCGCGGCUUAUCAGCUUGUUGGGGGGGAAGUGGCUUACCAAGGCUUUGACGGGUAGCCGGCCUGAGAGGGUGACCGGCCACAUUGGGACUGAGAUACGCCCCAGACUCCUACGGGAGGCAGCAGGGGGGAAUAUUGCACAAUGGGCGGAAGCCUGAUGCAGCAACGCCGCGUGCGGGAUGACGGCCUUCGGGUUGUAACCCGCUUUCGCCUGUGACGAAGCGUGAGUGACGGUAAUGGGUAAAGAAGCACCGGCUAACUACGUG